GUAACUGUAUCCCUCUUCCUCCAAACCUGGCUGGAUGCGGAGGGGCUUCCUAGCUUCCAUUUAAGUUUGCAUAAUAUUUUUUGAAAAAUGACUGUAUUUUGGAUUGCAGUGGCUUCCAACCUCAAUAACCCGGAGAACUAGAAAGUUUUGCAACAAGACCUUUUUGUUCCCUAGAUAGCAUAGGUUAAUCUCAGAUAACCAUGUGUGGUUGCUUCCAUACAUACUUGGUGUACUGGACCAUGAAUAUGACUUCCAAAUAAGCAUUCAGAAAGUUUUUUUGAAGUACAAUCAUGAGUACAUGACAACCACCAGAUCCUUUACAUGGAGCAAUUGACAGACACUAUUUAAGAAAGGAAAAUGUUGAAUGCUAUCAUGUAUGAAGAAUUGUUCACCGAAGAAAUGGGUCAAUUGUAGCAUUGCAGGUUCAAGGUUGAGGUGAAGUAGGUGUAAACUAGCCUACCACAAUUUGCCUGACUCCUUGUAAAAAUUCAUGAAUUGAUGAUUUUGUGAACAUGGCUUAGGCAAUGUAUUCAGGUUGUCAUGAUAUUUGAAA